UAAGCCCUGCUGCUUCACGAAGCCUUAAGUUCCACUUGGGGUACGUUUCAUUCUUGUGAAACAUAGUGACAGCGGGGUUAC
rnacentral:ncRNA from 1 species